AUUCCCNUAUAGUUUGAUGCUGGCUCAGAUUGAACGCUGGCGGCAGGCCUAACACAUGCAAGUCGAGCGCGAAAGAUCUUCGGAUUGAGUAGAGCGGCGGACGGGUGAGUAACGCGUAGGAAUCUAUCCAGUAGUGGGGGACAACAUGGGGAAACUCAUGCUAAUACCGCAUACGUCCUAAGGGAGAAAGCGGGGGAUCUUCGGACCUCGCGCUAUUGGAGGAGCCUGCGUUGGAUUAGCUAGUUGGUGGGGUAAAGGCCUACCAAGGCGACGAUCCAUAGCUGGUCUGAGAGGAUGAUCAGCCACACCGGGACUGAGACACGGCCCGGACUCCUACGGGAGGCAGCAGUGGGGAAUAUUGCGCAAUGGGCGAAAGCCUGACGCAGCCAUGCCGCGUGUGUGAAGAAGGCCUUCGGGUUGUAAAGCACUUUCAAUUGGGAAGAAAGGUUGUGCGUUAAUAGCGUACAGCUGUGACAUUACCUUUAGAAGAAGCACCGGCUAACUCCGUGCCAGCAGCCGCGGUAAUACGGAGGGUGCGAGCGUUAAUCGGAAUUACUGGGCGUAAAGCGCGCGUAGGCGGUUUGUUAAGUCGGAUGUGAAAGCCCCGGGCUCAACCUGGGAAUUGCACCCGAUACUGGCCGACUGGAGUGCGAGAGAGGGAGGUAGAAUUCCACGUGUAGCGGUGAAAUGCGUAGAUAUGUGGAGGAAUACCGGUGGCGAAGGCGGCCUCCUGGCUCGACACUGACGCUGAGGUGCGAAAGCGUGGGGAGCAAAC
rnacentral:rRNA from 1 species